CCGUGUUUGCCCAACCCUCUAUCUUUUAUUACUUAUAGGAGUUAUAAGUUUGAUCACUGUUCGCGUUAUUUUCACAUUUCAUAUAUAAAGUAUCUAUAGAUAUAUGAGGUCAAAUUUAGAGCCAGAACACUCUCAAACUUUCAUCUACGACACUUUCGUCCAGUAAAUUUUGUUGGUGAAUAAUUUGUUCCUGUCAGAUGCUAUUUAUGUAAUUAAUGUAUUUCCUUAUAUACCAAUGGUGAAAUGUAAACGUUCCCGCCAUCGUCGAUAGUUUUUAUUUCUGGAUCAAACUUUAAAAUGGAUGCAUGUGUUAUUUUUCAGAUUUGGUUUAUCAUGGCGGAGAUCGUACAUCAGGGAAUGAGCUCUAAUAAUGAGGGUUGUAACAAGUUUAACUCUACUUGUUGUUACAAUCAGUAUUUCGAUCAGGGAACUGGCACCUGUGUAGAAUGCGAGCUGGGCAGCUUUGGCUUAAAUUGUAUGGAAGACUGUAUUAGUGGAUACUACGGUUACCUGUGCCGGAGUCAAUGCGAAUGUGAUGCUCAAUAUUGCAACUCAACUACCGGGUGAAAAAAAUCUGUUCAUAAAUACAACACUAGCGAAACAAUGUAUCUCAACGAUUCCAUAGCAGAGACAAUCACGCAGGAAGCAGGGCCGACAGAAGCCACAUAGAAUUAUGCAAAGACAAGUAUAUUUAGAUUAACCUCCACACAUACCAUAAAUGUUAGAGAGGGUGUUCCUGAAGACAAACAUUCAUAUCACCAUGACAACAAUCAUUGGAUGCCAGUUUCCUUUCUUUUGAUUGGUUCUCUUGUCACAUUUUUCAUCUUUGGCAUUCUGUUUUAUCUUCGGAGAAGACGGUAAAAUUUUGUAAAUUUUACAAUCAUCAAAUGUAAAUCUCCAAAUAGCCUUACAAUCAAUACAGAUAAUGUGUUUACUUCUUUUAGGAUUAAAACUGGUUCCAGAUACCCUGCACUCGAUGGUAAUAACGUCCAAGAAGUUGAUGGUGAAGACCCCGCCGAUACGACUCUAGCUGAUGAGGAGCAGACGGACGACUCACAAUUUAAUGUUUGUAGCGGUACUUUUCCACAAUCUCAUAAUUCAUCUUAUGCGAGUGGCGAAAUUCGGCUUGUGGAAUUGGACUUGUAACAAAGCAAAACUUGUACGAUAGAUAUGAUAACGAUUGUGAGUAUAGCCGUCUCCAGCUCAGAAAAAAAGCAAAGUAGAAUUAUCAGUCAGGACGGAACACAAAAACUAGGGUUCAUAAACAAAGACGAUGAAGUGUAUGUGUCAUUGAAACCAUCAAACAUAACGAAUUCUCCCUUCAUAAAAGCAAACACUUUACUUCGGAAUUCUCGUAUCAACAUUGAUGAAAAUGAGCAAAACACAGAAUCUUCUCAUGAUAUCAUUCGCAGUAUUUCAGAAAGCAAUCUGUUUGCUUUUCAGAAAGAUUCCCAUAAACCUGUUACACGUAUGGAAAUCUAUAUGACAAAAGAAAUACAAAGAGACGUUACAAUGGUUGACAUUGAAGACAGACCAUAUAGUCUUGUUAAGUUGUUGGAUAUUGCAGAAUAGUUUGUACACCUGAUAUUGACCACAUGCAGAUUAGAAUUGAAUUUCCAUGACUUUAUCGAUACUUUGACACCAUACCGCGGAAUUGUAAAUUCUAAUAACAGUUUGAACUGAUAGCUAUAUCAAUUGCAAAUGUCGUGGAAAUCUACUGUAUAACACGUUUUUGUUGCAUCUGGGAGUCUGGAGUUCGAUUCGCGAAACAAAGACGUUUAACAUCAGUAGUAGUUUUUUCCUUUGUCCGGUAUUAGAAACCAAGGCGUUUAGCAUCAGUAGUAGUUUUUCCUUUGUCCGGUAUUAGAAACGAAGGCUACUGUCUUUCAGCUAUAGUAUUUACAACACAGGUCCUGUGUCGCAUUGGGUGUUGGCGCAGUAAGAACUCUCAAGAAUACGAAUCAUCAUGCAUAGGUCAAAAUAUCUUAUAUGUUGCUUUUAACCUAAUUCCCGAUUGAGAGUAACAAACACAACAAAUACAACGAUUGUGAACGAAUUUGGUCUAUGUAUGUAAAAUAUAUCACUCAAUAAUUUCAUUUUGCAUUCGUAACUAUAAUAUUCUUGUCCUCGAUAACACUGCUUCAUUAAUAAAUAAAAAAACC